AAAAAUCAGAUUUUUGCCCAUGCUCAGUUGGGGGAACGUGCAAGACCCCUUGGGCAGAAAAAUAUCCAACUUUGUUGACCAAAAGUUGCAUGCCAACUCAUUUUUCCCAAUGCCACAAAUUGAACAAGAGAGAGAAGCUCUCAUCUUCUCCAACUAGAGAAAGAGAGCCACGGCCAUGGAAGCUCCACCACCAAAAAAAAAAAAAAACAGUUUUCUUCCUCAAAUCAACUCCUCAUCUAGUGUACAAGAACGUGUAGUAGUUGUUGGAAAGAAACAAGGAGGUGUAGCACCUCAAUAGGGUUGAAGAUUCGGCCAAAGUGAAGAACAAGUUGUAAGGAUAAGUGUAUUUGGGCAGCAAGUACAAGUUAGAAUACAACUAAACGCUAAAGGUACAGACGUUCAUUUCGGAGAUCCGCCAGCUUAGGACACUUAUUCAGCUAUUUUGACUGCUCCUUUGUUCCGGAGCCUAGCUUGUGGUAUAACUCCCUUAUGUUGAAUUCAUAUGAGUUUAUUUGGGUACGGCGGGGCCCUGUCCCGCCAUAUGAUACGGUCAUUACUCUUAGAGGUCUGUGGACAUUUGUGUGGGUCUGUUUAUGGUUGUUGACGCGUUUUAUGAUUAUGACAUAUGUUUGGGGCGUA